AACUCUCCAGUCAUCCCCAUAACCUUCUUUGGUUGGUACAGCUAGUCCCUAACUGGACAUCUCGUGGAAGGCAGCUGAGGCAGUGCCUCAGUCUGGUGAUGAUGUCAAAGCUUUUGGAUGAAAAGCAUGAAGAUAUUCCUAAUGCCAAUAACCUUCAGAUCUCGGUCCUGCAUCGAUAUCUUGUGCAGAUGAAGCCUUCUGAUUUGUUGAAGAAAAUGGUCUUGAAGAAAAGGGCCGAACAGCCAAAUGAAACUAUUGAUGACAGUCUUCAUUUAGAACUUGAAAAGCAGGCAUAUUACCUGACCUACAUCCUUCUUCAUUUAGUUGGGGAAGUUAGUUGCUCUCAUUCUCUUUCUUCUGGACAACGGAAACACUUCGUGCUGCUUUGUGGGGCUUUGGAAAAGCAUGUUAAGUGUGAUAUUAGGGAAGAUGCAAGACUUUUCUACAGAACUAAAGUGAAAGACUUGGUUGCCAGAAUACAUGGAAAAUGGCAGGAAAUAAUUCAGAACUGUCGGCCUACUCAGGGGCAGCUUCAUGACUUCUGGGUGCCAGAUUCUUAACAGAAGUUAGAGCAGCAGAAAUACAAACAAGGGCCUCUCCGAGAGGAUUACUGUGGGAUGCAGAGAUGCUGAGGGGCACGGCUGUGUGCUGCUCGCAUGCGUGGUGUGAGGCUGCUGGUGAAGACUUUCCCAUUUCUGAAGCAGAGAUGAAGAUAUGCCAUCUGCAGCCGAUGCUAGAGGGAAGACCAGGGGCCGAGGAAAGAAGGCGAGGGAAGCUGCUGGUAGCUACAGAUCCAGGCUGCCCCUCCCCUCCUUGCUACGUUUUCAGCAGUUACCUUGUAAGGUGGCUUCAUAACACUUGGAUCAUCACAGAAAAGAAGAAGAAAAGUGUGGACCAGCUUGAGUUGGACAUUGAAAUGAAGGCCUAAGUCCAGCUGGUUUUCAGUUCCCUUCUGGUUAUUUUAGGGUACAAAGGGAAGGCUUAGAAUAGAGCCCUGUAAUUAGAAGUGUUGGUCUCUUCUAUAACCCAUAAACCAUAGGCAGUUUCAGCCCAUAUAUAUCCCUUAGUAUUCAAAAUUAUAAAUCUGAGAUUUUUAAAUAUAUUUAAAAUCAAGGAAUAGACAUCUGGUAUGUUGUCAGACUGCCCUUAGAGGAAGAGAUUAAGCUAUAAAAUAGUGACUGUUUUUAAAAUGCCAGAACAUUCAUAGGCAGUUUGUUUAGGGUUUCUUGUAAUGCAUAUAUUUUUAAAUACUGAUUUAAUCAUAAAAUCUCAGCUAAGCUAGAAUUCUGGCCAUUGGUAACUCUAUUACAGAAGUCUGUGUAAAAAGGCUUCAAAAUCUGGAAGUUUCCAAAAUCCUUGUUUCCACAAGUAUCAUUUAGCAGAGGCCUUGAUGGUGUUUAUUUUGGGGACAUGCAUGUGAGUGUGUGUGUGUGUGUGUGUGUGUGUGUGUGUGUGUGUGUGUGUGUGUGUGUGUGCACGCGCGCGUUCGCGCACAUGUACACGCACACUCAAGUUUGUAUCUUGAAGUUGUUGCACUUGAAAACCACAGCUGCUCUAAAUUCUUUUAAACACUGGAAAGCCAUCCUUUAGUUUAGAUGGUCGAGGGUUAGCAGAGGUGCACAUGCUAGAUUGAGCCUUAGGCCCUUUGAAAACUUUGGUAGUGACACUCCUGUUGACAGGUGUCAGUUUGGGGAGGUUUGCUUCCUAAAAAGGAUGCCAACUGCUUAUUCUUUGACUAUUGGCUGGAGCAAGUGGCUUGCUCCCUCUUGAGCAUGCUAAUGUGUGUGUGGGUCCAGGUCAGGUGGUGGAAAAGGGAACUGGGCUCAGUGUUAAGGUUUGAGAGGAGAAAAUAAGUUCUGAGAGCUAACUCUUUCUACCUCUAAACUGAGGCUUAGGAAUAAAAACCAUUGUAUCUUAAAUUCAUCAUUUAAAUUAGCAUUAGCGACUUUAUAGCUCCUGUCAAGCAUUGGGCAGUUAGAGAUUUUAUAGAGAAGACUACACAAAUCACAUUUUCAAGAAUUGAGGCUGAUCGAGGCUCCAAGAGUCAGACCAACAAGUUUUAUUCUGUGUUGAGUUUACUGGUAAGAAUAUUGUCUUGAUGCUACCUCUCAAGGGUAUUGUUACAAAUGCCACUAUGGUUAAAGAGAUAGAUACGAAGAGCUAUAUUUGACUGAAGCUUGAAACUCUGGCAUCUAUCUGCCCAACGGUGGGGCUCUCACUCUGUAAUUUAAUCCUUGUAGAUACAUUGUUUGUGUGUAAUUUUAUAAGUGUUCAUAUUUUUCUCAUUUUGCAUUGUGUAAAGUGUACAAAAUCUCAAAGUAUAAAAAUCUGCUUAUAUUGCUUGUAAUUACAGUGUGUAAAUAUUUUCUAUUGUGUACAUUGACGGGGACAAGUGGGUUAUUCAGGUUUUUAAGUGAUCCUUUUAUAUUGCAGUUUCAACCAAUAACCACCCAUCAAAUUUAAAACCACUUUGAUACAUUCUUAUUUAGCAGGUCCUAUAAGAAUAAAAUCUCUAUUUUCAAUUGUCUUUCUCCACUAGAGAAAAAUACUUUAUCUGUCCCUUUAAAAUAAAUGGCCAGACAUCAGUUUCGGCCUCUGAAUUUAUGACUCUGGUAGCAGCCUUCAGUCUCCGGGUCAGAGUCCAGUCAGUAUUUACAUUUGGGUUCUUGUGGAAAUGUUGUGGUUCUAUUUUAGCACAAGUAGCUCAUGGUUUUUAAUCCCAAAUCAAGUAUUUUCCAUCUUCUGAGUCCCUGUGCGUUGUCUCCCUCUGUCUGUUGUUGCCCAGAAAGUGGGAUGGUAGCGAGGGAGGAAGUGCUCGCUGCACAGAGACUGUCAGGCCAUACUUGGGACUGGGCAAACGAGCUUGCACUGAGCGGUGGUGUGUUUGGCAAUAUUACUGUGCCAAAAAUAAUCCUUGUCUCAUUUUCUGGAUGUGUGAUGUCAAACUUUUUACCCUUACUGCAAGCUGAACAUUAAAGUACUUGUGUUUAUGCUUUUGUGUGUAACUGUUUGCCUUUCCUGACCUGCUUUUCUUGUUACCUGAAAGUACAGUUCUGUAACACAUGUCAAGUGAAAAGGUUUUCCAUGCUCAAGAUCACCUGUGUAGCUCUGCAGUCAGUGUUGUGCAUUGUUUUGUCUCUGUCCUGAUGGCAACGGUGCCUUUGUCACCUUUCAGAAGGUUGGCUUUUUUUUUUUUUUAAUGCAAGUAAUAGCUUGCUUCGACUUCAC
rnacentral:lncRNA from 1 species